AAUCCAUGGUGAGGGGCACCUUCUCAACAGGUCCUUGUAUCUCUCCCAUGCAUCAUAUAGUGUUUCUAAAUCCAUCUGCACAAAAGAAGAGAUAUCAUUCCUUAAUUU
rfam:Gossypium hirsutum cultivar TM-1 chromosome 9, whole genome shotgun sequence